AUGUCCUUUAAAAUUUAUAGUAUUUUAGGAGAUUAACACAGAAGGGUACAGGAUGCCUCAUGAAACUCAAAGAGACUGGACAGUUCCUAUUUUGAUCUUGUCUAUUGACAUAGCU
ensembl:snoRNA